UACGGGGGGGGCAAGCGUUGUUCGGAAUUACUGGGCGUAAAGGGCUCGUAGGUGGCCAACUAAGUCAGAUGUGAAAUCCCUCGGCUUAACCGGGGAACUGCGUCUGAUACUGGAUGGCUUGAGUGUGGGAGAGGGAUGCGGAAUUCCAGGUGUAGCGGUGAAAUGCGUAGAUAUCUGGAGGAACACCGGUGGCGAAGGCGGCAUCCUGGACCACGACUGACGCUGAGUGAGCGAAAGCCAGGGGAGCAAACGGG
rnacentral:rRNA from 1 species